AUCCCAUGGUGAAGACAUUCUCUUUGGUACUCCUUGAAUCUAUCCCAUGCUUCGAACAAGGACUCAUCUCGUUUUUGCUCAAAUGAUUGUAUCUUGUGCCGGUACUGCGGUU
rfam:Spinacia oleracea cultivar SynViroflay scaffold84285.con0002.1, whole genome shotgun sequence.